rnacentral:misc_RNA from 1 species
UGCACCUCCUUCUAAGGUAUUAAUUUUCUUUGAAUCUUUAAGACUUGAAUCUUUUUUUUCUUCUUCAAAGAAAAGAAAAUUAUGGCAUUCAUGUGAUGUUGGCGGGAUAUUCUACAUUUCUUGACUUUUAAUUUUAAUAGAGGUGAAUUCUUUGUCUAUGAAUUCUAUAAAUCACUUGUCCUGUUUAGGGGUUUACUGCGAUUAAGAUUCCAUUUCUGUAUUUUUUAUGUUAUUCUUUUGAUUGCUGUUGACUGUUGAGGUUUAUCUGCUUGUUGGUUAAAUACUGAUAAGAGCAGUUGACGAUAAGUCUGACAAUGAGGCCUGAUAUGAUAUUGAUAAGUUCUAAGAAUGGAUAGCUACCCAUUUUUUUAAUUCUCUUCAACCACCCAUAGG